AGCGAACGCUGGCGGCAGGCUUAACACAUGCAAGUCGAACGGGCGUAGCAAUACGUCAGUGGCAGACGGGUGAGUAACGCGUGGGAACGUACCUUUUGGUUCGGAACAACCCAGGGAAACUUGGGCUAAUACCGGAUAAGCCCUUACGGGGAAAGAUUUAUCGCCGAAAGAUCGGCCCGCGUCUGAUUAGCUAGUUGGUGAGGUAACGGCUCACCAAGGCGACGAUCAGUAGCUGGUCUGAGAGGAUGAUCAGCCACAUUGGGACUGAGACACGGCCCAAACUCCUACGGAAGGCAGCAGUGGGGAAUAUUGGACAAUGGGCGCAAGCCUGAUCCAGCCAUGCCGCGUGAGUGAUGAAGGCCCUAGGGUUGUAAAGCUCUUUUGUGCGGGAAGAUAAUGACGGUACCGCAAGAAUAAGCCCCGCUAACUUCGUGCCAGCCGCCGC
rnacentral:rRNA from 1 species